GUGCUUGCUUUCGCAACACAUAUACUAAAAUUGGAAUGACACAGAGAAGAUUAGCAUGGCCCCUAUGCAAGGAUAUGUAAAUUCUUGAAGCAUUCCAUAUUUUU